rnacentral:lncRNA from 12 species
GUCUGGUUCCAAAACCAGUGAACAAGACAGCUAAGGCAGAGCUGCCGACUGGGCUCCACAUUCCCUCAAGGAGAAGGGCCUCCGGGUAGACAGAAACAGCCUCCAGGUGACUCCCUAGCAUCCCAGAAAAGUCCCCUCCUGAGCCGCUCCUUGACUCAGGAACAUGUCACUGUGUGCUGACCAGGCUGUGGCAAAAGCCUCAGGAAGGGCCCCAAGAUCUGCUAUCAGGCUCCAGCCACCCUUGUGACCCCAGAUGGCGACACUGCGCCUGCCAUUGCUGGGAUUGCAGCAGGCAGGCUGUUUCUGGGCCAGGAAGGAUCUGCGUCUUCUUGUCCUGAACCUACUAGACAGGACACAGCCUCUUCUGCCAUCUACUCAUUAUUGUUAUUCAAAAGCUGGCUUCUGGGGUGGGUCCAGGCUCUGGCUCCUUGGCCUCAGGGAAGGAGAGGCUACGCAUGCACACACUGUCACAUACCAUCACACACACCAUGACACUCACUUCUGUCUCCACCUUGGUUGUGCUAUUGGCGUCCAAGCCCUCCUCUCCAACCUUGUUCUCUCUUUAGGUCGUGUCCUGAAGGAAGGCAGGAGACAAUGGACAUCCAUUUCUGCAUCCCAAGCCAGUAUCCUCCUUCAAGCCUUUGAGGAAGAGAGGUUUCCUGGCAUUGCUACGAGGGAAAGCCUGGCCAGAAGAAUAGGCAUUCCAGAAGCCAGAAUUCAGCCAGGAGGGGAAGGAAGGCCGAUGCAAACGCAGCUGUUCUGGAUGUGGACGAUCGCCUGCCCACGCCUUGCCCACAGCCCAGCACAGAUGUGCCUGCAGACAGCCCACAGGAACACUCUUUGGGAGGCCCCGCCAACGCCAUGCCGGCUCCAGUCCUUGGCUGGGAGACGUCACCCCAAGCAUCAGGGAAGCUCCAUGGACUUGGGCCUCUGGAACAGAGCAUGAUGGUGAGUAUGUGGGCCCUGAGGCCCUGGCCAGCAGACACCAUGCCCUGCUUCAUCUCACAUAUGCUCAUAAAGAGCGCCCCCACAACAGGAAAAGAAUCCCUGACCCAGAGGGACCUGGGCUGGCCUCUCCCCGGGUCCUGGGGAGGCAGGUUCGAAUUGAGCCCCCCCAGGGUCAGAACGCAGAUUGAUGGGUUGAACCCCCGGGGCCCUGACCAGUUCUGGAUUCUGCCCCAAGGCUCAGUGACCCUCUCAGAGCAGGAUAUGUCUUCCUUGGUUCUGAGUGAGCCCCACAGAUCCAGAUCACUGACCUAGGACAACACUGGGAAUUUCAGGACACCCCAGGGCAGGGGCAGUAGGGGCAUGCCGCUGGGCCACGUCCUCACCCACACUAGGAUGCAGGCUCCUCCACAUGCUGGUCUCUGGCAGUCAGUCCCCUGACACCAGUGGUCCAGAAGCCGGGUCCAGCUGACAUGCAGGGACCCAGCACAGGGACCCCUAAGCUGUAGGGGCCCAGAGCAGGGACCCCUAAGCUCCAGGGAUAGGUCAGGUCUGCUGUCUGCAAAACUGCCUCUCAGGCUCCAACUUCAGGAAAUUUGCCCACGCUCAGAGUCUGCCCGGGCUCCAAGUUGGGGGACUCUAGCACCCGCAUCCCAUGUGCCUUCGGGUUUCCCAAAAGGACAGGACGGUGUAGCUCCCCCGGGGAAGGUACGCACCCUAAGGUCGGAGCCCCUGUUUGAAGUUGAAAGUUCAAUACAGUGUUG